UUUACUUUUCAUAUAGACAGACUCGCGUACAACAUCAAUGUUCUGUGGAGUACAAGCACUUCUUGGUCGUCCUGUUGGUUUCUUCUUUAGGGCAGAUCCAGUCUCUUCAAAGUUAUUAAUCCAACAUUUUAUCGAGUGUUUUGAUGGAACAGCACC